rnacentral:rRNA from 1 species
UACGAAGGGGGCUAGCGUUGCUCGGAAUUACUGGGCGUAAAGGGCGCGUAGGCGGACAGUUUAGUCAGAGGUGAAAGCCCAGGGCUCAACCUUGGAAUUGCCUUUGAUACUGACUGUCUUGAGUAUGGGAGAGGUGUGUGGAACUCCGAGUGUAGAGGUGAAAUUCGUAGAUAUUCGGAAGAACACCAGUGGCGAAGGCGACACACUGGCCCAUUACUGACGCUGAGGCUCGAAAGCGUGGGGAGCAAACAGG